GUGUCUGACCUCUAUGAGUAUCCACUUAAGAUCAGUCUGGAAUAGCUCUCUAAAAUCUGAAUUUUGAAUCUCCAAAAUUCAGCCUACUGAAUCUGAAUAAAGCCUGGAUUAUGAUCAACACUUGAUCUUUCUCCUUGAUCUUCUUCUCCUCUUCUCUAGACUUUUUUCCUUGAUUAUGUGCUACUACCAGUAGGUAGAAGUAGCAAACAAAGGAUGCCCAAUAGCCUUUGGGCAUGAAAUUACUUGGGACACACGUCCCAAGUAAUAUGGCAUGGAGAUGCCUAAGGAGAAGAGAAAGAGGGAGGA
rnacentral:lncRNA from 1 species